rnacentral:lncRNA from 1 species
GAAAGGUGGAAGCUGCCUGCAGUGACAGCAUGACUGCUUUUCACAUGAUGCUCUUCUGGGGACCUGCGGCCCUUUGUGGAAGGUGGGGAUGGCCCCUUCCAGCCGCUCUUCACCGUGUGCCACGUCUCAGGUUCUCUUUUUGUUCAUCUGAGACACAGAACACCUCUUGAUGAAGGUCACAGCUUUGAUCCCCGUGGCUCGCUCUUGUGUUUGUAGCCAUUAUUAGUAACAUCAGCUCGUGCAUGCACUUCUCCCUGCCUGCCCUUGUCUGGCUGCAAGGGAGCAGGGGCAGGAUAACAAAAGAAAGUAUAAAUAGUCUUUUUAAAAGCCUGUUAAAUAGAAGUAGACUUUUUAGGGAGGAGGGAGAAAGAAUGAGGCGUGUUACCAUAGUAACUGCCAAUGGUUUAUUUAAGAAGGGCAAAGAAACAAACACCACAAAAAGGCGAAGUCGAGAGGAGCUGGAGAUCACUGGAGGAAUCUGUCGGGACACAGACAACAUGGGGCCAGGCUUCUGGGUCAGCAGCAUUAUCCUCACUUAGAGAGGCAGAUCUGAAGGACGUAGAGAGAUUAAACAACAUUCUCAGAGCCGUAGAGGAAAUGAGAGGUGACUUGAAGACCUGAACCUGCUUCUCAGAGGGCUAGCACAGAGAGAUGAGAUGGCAGACCACAGAAAGGAGCUGCAGCUGGGAAUGGUGCUCUUCAGCAGUACGCUAUUGAAUGGGAAUAAUGCAUUCAACAUAGAAGACUAGCUAAGUCUGGGGAUUUCAUCCCACUCUCCUGUGACUUCUUAAGCAUCUACCGCCAUCCUUUCCUGCUUUCUCCAUUCCUCUCAUUCAUUAUGGCCACUGCUUCUCCACAGUAAUCAGGACUUGUCUCUUCUAGUGCACAAUGAAGUGUUCACACUGUACUAUGGAGGGUGUAAAGCCAGCUGGGAGCCCAUCUGAACACACUGUAAGCCUAAGAGAGCUGAAUCUAAUGCAAUCCCAUCUAUGUUGCCCACAGAGCAAGGCUUUUUGGAGUAAAAAUACCCAACUGAAACUUGGCAACUGUUGUGGAAGGAAGUGGUUCUUUUAUUCCAAAAUAGCCUAGGAGUGAACUGAUGCUUAAGUAUUUAUGGAUCAUCAGGAGCUAGGACCCUGAAGGUGACUGUAAAGCUGAGUAGUAUGAUGGUAGAGACAUAUCCAGUGAGAUCUGUCCAGAGGUCUCUGCAUAAUGCCCUUGAUAUUCAUUAGGCUGCUUCAGGGCUGACUUGAUAAGAUGAAGGGCAAUACUAUAUACAAGUGAAAUCUUUCUUCACUUCUCUACUUCUAGAUGAAAGCAAAGCUUUAUUGAGAAUCAUCCUUGCUAUGGUGUCCUCCCCACCAAUUUGCAAUUCCUACUGUACAGUUACUUUACCUAUGACCCUUCAGCUUUAAUUCAGAGAUGCUCUGGACAUGUUGCAUCUGGCUGGGGAAGAUGCAAGGGCUAAAACUUACCAGUAUCCUUUGAGAUCCUCAUGGAGAUGUCCUUUGUGACCAGGGACAGAGGAAUUACUAGCCUGGAUCAAUGACUUCUUUUUUACGGUAGCCCAGCACACAUGCCUUGAAAUGCUACCCUCGAGAGAUGUACCAGCAAGGACAUAUUUCUCCUGACCUCUGCUAGCUGAUGGUUGCAACACGCCUUGAAGCAUGAACAUUUCUCAGCCCUGACAAAACCCCAGAGACUCUGCUUUAAAUCAUAAAUAAAAGAAGUCUGGAUUUUCUUGUUUCUCAUGUAGAAUGGGUUUUCAGAAAGGCCCGAGGCACUCUGGUAUAUUGGCAGAUCUGUAGCAUGCUCGUUUGCAAGUGAAUCAGUAAUGUACGUGGUUGUAGGAGUUUUGUGAAGUUUGGACAUCAUAGCCAACUGUCUUAUACAUCAGACCUUUGUUAGCACUUCCCAAGGUAUAUUUAUUUUUGAAUUUCUAAGGUAUUUUUCCCAUGCUAGGUUAAUUGCUAAAUGGGGGAAAUUAAGUUACACCAUUCCGGGGAAUAAUAACCUCACUGCUUCACUUCCAUUGUGUAUAAUGUACUUUAUAGUUCAGGCACAUACUGAAGUUCUUUGCCAAAUUAUGGCUUUUCUGAGAAGAAAAAGUGCAGUUUUCUGCAUUUUUGCUAUGAUACGCCUCUUUGCUGGUAAUACUGCUUUGACAAAUGUGCCUUUCUGCUUUCACUGAUUUGAUUGAUAUUAUUCUCCAGUUCUAACUGUGUUGGUAGAAAUUAUUCAUUCUAGUAAUGAUUUUGAUAAACAUAUUAAGGAAUUUUCUUCCAAUGGAAUUUUUUAGGCAACUCUAAAUGAUCUAUUAUCCUACAUUCCCUGGACCUCCACGUUACUGGAGGGCUGUAGAAUUUAAAUGAUAAUUUAUACUGAGUGCAGAGGUAGCUGCUGCAGAACCAGCAGUAAAUAUUAAUACUGCUAUCACAGCC